rnacentral:lncRNA from 1 species
ACAUGAAACCGGAUCCCAAAGUGUUAACCAAUCUCCAUCUCUACCGUUAUCUCAAAUAUCCUUUUCAUUCUUCUUACCUCACAAAACCAUCAGAGUUAUUUGAAGGACUCAUACAUUCACCAACUACAUCAUCCUCCAUCCAAACCUUGACUUAACAUGUGACCAUUACCCCAAGUGUGUUGGAAGUAGAUGCUAAACUACUUCAAUAUGAAAUUUCAGGGAUACACUUUCAAAAUUUAGGAAUUAGAAACAUUUAGUGAGAGAAAAUUUCAAGAGCGACAUUAAACUAGAAAAAUCAUCCUCAUUAUCCAUGAGAGAGGAGGAAAAAAUAUUUAUGAAUUUGGUGGUGGUGGAGAAAAUGCUCAAAAAGAAGUACAUGCUAAAACUACUUCAAUAUGAAAUUUCAGGGAUACACCUUCGAAACUUAGGAAUUAGAAACAUUUAGUGAGAGAAAAAUUCGAGAGAACCGUUAAACUAGAAAAAUCAUCAUCAUCAUCCGUGAGAGAGGAGGAAAAAAUAUUUAUGAAUUUGGUGGUGGUGGUGGUGGUGACUUCAAUAUGAAAUAUCAGGGAUACACUUUCGAAACUUAGGAAUUUGAAACAUUUCAUGAGAGAAAUUUUUUAGAGCAACAUUAAACUAGAAAAAUCAUCCUCAUUAUCCAUGAGAGAGGAGGAAAAAGUCUAGAUUGAGUAUUUACAACAAGCUAUACAUCUCUUUUGUCCCCCAACUAAAGAAGCCCGCUUCUGAGGCAUUUAGGGGACUCCUCGUAGAAUCAGGCUCUUGAGCUUGCAUACAAUGUGAAGAAAAACAGAAUUCUAAAGCAAUUCACUAUGAAAUCAUAUCCAUUGAUUAAUCAUCAGCAUAGGUUUGUGUGCUUCUUCAGUUUAGAUAUCAAAUCCUAUCCCUAUCAAUUUCAAUAGUUUUCUAUGAACUCAUAUCUUUUGUCCUCCAACUAAAGAAGCCAGCUAUUGAGGCACUUCAAGGGGACUCCUUAUAUUAUCAGGCUCUUGGUCUUGCAUAGAGUUUGAAGAAGGGGUGGUGCUAUCAACACACCUCCAAUCGAAUGAAUUGAAGACGACCAAAAGAACAUAAAUUAACAAGGAGUGUGUGGGAUGUAAAAAUGGGUGUGUGGAUAGCACAACCCUUGAAGAAAAAGGGUUCUAAAACAAUUCAUUGUGAAAUUAAAAUAGUCCUGGACUAUUCAUCAGCAUAGCUUUGUGUGCUUAAUUUAUCGAUAGUUUCCCCAAAACAAGGAUGAAGGAUCUACAUAUCAAUACCACGCAAUCCAGAACGUAUGUACACACCCAUAAACAUAUGCAUACAGAUGGAAACGCAAUUGUUUGCAUACAAAUCUUUAAUUAGGAAAAAAAAAAAACUGAAUUCAGGGUCAGGUCAAGGUGAUGAGGCAACCGCAGAUGCAAGGCUAAAUUGAUGUGUGCCUAGUGCUUAGUCAAAUGUCAUUAUGCACAGGCCGGCAGAUGCAAGUAAGUAAAACACCAAAAAUUGAUCCUAAGUAAGUAGAGUCUGUGGAGUAUUCAAGGAUGUGGUUGGAAAUUAGCAAGAAAAUUUGAUGGGAUGGGAUGCCUGUAAGAUUUUGAAACAGACGACAGAAUAUAUUGAGAAAAAAAAAGAGAGAGAAAGGGAUAAAGGGAC